rnacentral:antisense_RNA from 1 species
GCCCUUUUUUACAGCUUGAAAAUGAUUGUUAAAAACAACAACUGAAAAUCAAACAACUGAAAACAUGAGCCAAAUCUAUUAGCACUGAACUCCUCCAACAGCACUGAUGUCACAGGCCUCUGGAAGAAUCCACAUUGUUGACAUUACUCUGGUCAAGAUGGGGUUUGACCUUGUUGUCCAGGCUGGUUUCAAACUCCUGAGUUCAAGCAAUCUACCCACCCUUCAAAGUGUUGGGAUCACAGGUGACUCUUAGAAUCAUCUAGUCAAAAUGGAAUUGUGACUGUAAGUGCACUAAGAAAAGAUACCUUUGGGAAGAAUGAACAUAUUUUGACAAAUAUGUUCAAUAUUUUUACAUAUUAAAAUAUUGACUCUCACCCAUGAAA